rnacentral:rRNA from 1 species
AUUGAACGCUGGCGGCAGGCCUAACACAUGCAAGUCGAACGGUAACAGGAAGAAGCUUGCUUCUUUGCUGACGAGUGGCGGACGGGUGAGUAAUGUCUGGGAAACUGCCUGAUGGAGGGGGAUAACUACUGGAAACGGUAGCUAAUACCGCAUAACGUCGCAAGACCAAAGAGGGGGACCUUCGGGCCUCUUGCCAUCGGAUGUGCCCAGAUGGGAUUAGCUAGUAGGUGGGGUAACGGCUCACCUAGGCGACGAUCCCUAGCUGGUCUGAGAGGAUGACCAGCCACACUGGAACUGAGACACGGUCCAGACUCCUACGGGAGGCAGCAGUGGGGAAUAUUGCACAAUGGGCGCAAGCCUGAUGGAGCCAUGCCGCGUGUAUGAAGAAGGCCUUCGGGUUGUAAAAUUCUUUUAGCGGGGAAGAAGGGAGGUAAAUUUAAACCUUUACUUAUUGACGGUACCCGCAGAAAAAGCCACGGCUAACUCCGUG